rnacentral:rRNA from 1 species
UACGGGGGGGGGCAAGCGUUGUUCGGAAUUACUGGGCGUAAAGGGCGCGUAGGCGGGAUGGCAAGUCGGUCGUGAAAUCCCCAGGCUCAACCUGGGAACUGCGUCUGAUACUGGAUGGCUUGAAUUCGGGAGAGGGAUGCAGAAUUCCAGGUGUAGCGGUGAAAUGCGUAGAUAUCUGGAGGAAUACCGGUGGCGAAGGCGGCAUCCUGGACCGACAUUGACGCUGAUGAACGAAAGCUAGGGGGAGCAAACGGG